rnacentral:rRNA from 1 species
UCGUCUGGUGGUGGUGGAGUAAGUUAGUCGUCAGGAGUAAAAGAGUCUCCCCCUUCCCUCCUUCGCCAACGCACAAGCGCCUCUUCGUCUCUGGUUUGGGAGAGGAGGAGCGCGCCCGUGGCCCGCCUCUCCCUCCUCCCCGCGCGCCUCCUGCUUCCGGCGGUCGUCGGUCGGCGCAGCUGGGCUCGGCGGCCGGUUCUCCUUCUCCUAUGAUUCCUAGAUGCCGUGCUUCUGGUCCGGCGGGAAGUGAGAGUGGAUGUUUGCUAACCGAUGGCCGCCACCGCGAGGCUCUACGGUAGGAUGGAUUGUCGUUCGUCGGUUCGUCGUUAGUAAGUUGUCAUCGUGUUCGUAAGUUCCAGUUCGCUCGUCGUCCUUGUGUUCCUAAGUUUCUCGUCGUGUUGUAUCCAUCGUUCGUCGUCGUCUAGUCCAUAAGUUUCUCGUCGUCGUCGAGUUACCUUCUUUUAGUCUUUUUUUAUACUUUUCCAACCUCUCCGACGGCCCUAACCCUUGAACCAAUGGACGGCAACCCUCCUCUCCGACGACCUCGACCCAUCGUCAGCGACCAUCUCAGGUCCGCAGCUGCCACCGUCGUCGCUCAGGUCCUCCGCCGCCACCGCCGGGUAAGCGACGACGGACGCUCCGACACCCGUCGAACAAGAAAACACCUCUCGCACGCACGCUGUGGACGUUUUAUCCCAAACCAUAACCCGACAUCGACAAAAAGCCGACUGUCACAGGGGUUACAUAGUACGUGCAUAGGGUCGGCACGGGGACAUAAAAAUAAAAAAAAUUAAGCGUUUAACACCCUAUGACACCCUAUGCACAUAGGACCGCAUAGGAGCAUAGGACCACACAGUCCUGCCGGUUACCCGUUCAAAACGACAUAGUUAGGAAGAAUCUAAUGGGUCCAUGUAAUAAGUCAACUACGACGGUCUAUCCUACCGAUCAACUAGUACAAACUGCUCAUUUCACAUAAAAAGUGGCAAGAAGAAUCAAGGAUGAGAAAGUCAAGUACUUUGGACAUACAUAAACUGGACGGGUGACUUCGGGAACCUUUAAAAGAACUAAGGAUGGAUUUUUAUGUAAGUACUUUACUCAACAAACACGAGGGUCAAGCUGUAGUCCGUUGAGAAAACAAAGAUAAAUAAACAAAAAACGAUCGUCAAAAAAAAAGGACCUAUUGUCUUUGGCCAUUUUUACAUGAGAGUUUUGGUAGGUGUGUGAUACAUUAUGCUCGAUAGACUUAAAACUAGUAAAUACAAACUAAAAACAACGAGUUUUUAGUCCAGUCGCGAGUGUUAAAGAACAUAUACACUCUUACUUCUCAUUCUUACGACGUAGAUUUAAAUAUAUUACCUUUAUAUCAAAUACGACAGAGAUUCACUAGUGUCUUUUUCUAGUACACUAUACAUAUUGAACACGAUCUAGAGUCGGAAGUUCACAUGGAAGUAGCACACUACGAUAAUGGCAAUCUAGUACCUUCCAUGAGAAGGUAACACGGUAGCUGUGACCAACAAAUAUACAAGGUGGGUUGUCUCGUAUGUUCAACAUGUCGGAGCCUAAUAAGAAUCUCCGUCUUUACGAAAUAUACAAUUCUCGUGUGGUGACUACAGGAAAGGAAACUACUAAUACGUACUUUAAGAUGUAGUGAACGACGUAGAAGUCCAAUCUCACUCUAAGCCGAAGGUUUUAUCGGUGUAAGAAGUUUCGUCGCUAAUUCUAAACAAUCUCAACCUCAAGUUAUAAACCCCGGUACUAAGGUAAAGCAACAAACAAACUGAAGUUGAACCCGUUAACACCCUUAAUCCAACCCAUUCGUUAACGGCAAAAGAGGUUAAUAGACUACUGGACCAUGGGUCCAAUCACUUAUCAAACUCUUUAUUAUAUUAAUGUCUAAAUUCGACUAUUGAUUCAAUCUUCGAUCGGAACACGAUUUGAAAUAAGGUACCGACGGUGGCGGAAAAAGCACCAGUGUUUGGGAAUUGUACCCAUGACGGUAAGUAUGAUGGAACGGAAAUCGAAGCUACAAAAAAAAAAAACCGGAAAGAAAGAGAUCGAGGAGGUCGAAUAAACGACAAGGAUGAUUCGGAACUUUGUUCCCUUCAAAUAAAUAACACCUCCUACUAUCGAAAUCUAGGAAGCUUUAUAAUCAUAUCAGUUUUCAGAACAAAGGGACACGCAUUUAUGGAAAAGUAAACCUGACUCGAUGAUUAUUAUAACGUCCAUGAUCAACUAGGACGCUUCAUUUCCUUUUAAAAUAAAAGAAAGAACUGAACUAAAUGGUUUUAGUUCGAGUGUAAUUCCAGUUUGUUAGCCCGUGUAACCCGAGGAACUAAGUAAAACGCUCAUGAUACACGACUGACGACGUCAGUUUACCUUCUCGAGAAGUCAACUGUACACUAAACUCUUGGAUAAAUCGGAGUCUUUCUCGUAUACGAGUUUAGUUACAUAAAACAGGAAUCGCACUCCCUUCCACUAUGGAUAGCGUUCUAGAAUUCGUAUGUUCAGUCCGAAAGGUUACGCCAAAGACCUUCACCAUGGAGAAGACCCUUGACCUUUUAAUAUGGAUUGACGACGGUGUGAAUCGUGUAUCAUACAAAUCUAAUGACACCACACAAGGUACUUGAAGUACCUGAUUCAUGCAACCACUACCAUAUACUUGGUCACGGGUAACAAUUGGACGUAUCUUCCUAAAGUACUAGUGAACCUCAUAAUUAACCUCGUCACGUUCGUACGUGAAGUAUGUUCUUGGUAGUUAAACGAACAGUACCAAACCUACCAAUUAAAUGGUUAUCUACCCACAUUUUAGACCUUUUCCUUGCAUUCUGGAUUACCAAGGAUGGUUUCAUCAACUAGACUUCCACGAAAAGGUUCUUCUUUAGUCGAAUUCUGCAUCUUGACCGACACCACUCCCAUCCACAUGGGAACUUUGUUCGAGUCAAUAACACAACUCUCUUACAUAAACGUCUAUCGGUAAACUACCCUUUUACUUUCCUCUCUUUCCGAUCAGUUUGUAUUUAGUUAACUACAACCUUUGUUCUACGUAGAUGUAUAUUCGUCUUGUUUUCCCGUGUGGUCGAAGUACCUCCUUGGUUAUAGUGUGUAUACAAUAGAUAAAUUUACCCGGUACAAAGAUGUACUGUACGAUACAGGUGACGGAACUGCUAUAAAGGCCGAGCAGACCUCGACUAUCGAUCGUAAUGGGAAUACAGAAUCUGUAGGUUAAUAAAAUGUAAAACUAUCAUAAUACAUGUGAUAGGUAGAGAGGGGAACUACAUCGAGUAAUACUGUACUCGAGUAGAGUACGAUACAUUUCAAACUUAAAAGUCAGUCUAUUAAGAAUACGAACGAUCUUACAUUUAUACUAUUGACAUGAUAACCUUCUCACAACAGUGUUUUUUUUAGUCAUUAGAGAAAGUUGAAGAAACCGAUGAACAACAUAAUAGUAAAAACGUUACGAACGACAUCAAAUGCGACAAACUCUAAUAAAUGGAUCACGAACGGUCUCCAAACCCACAAUAGAAAGAAUGGACAGUACCGUUUUACAUAUAGUCUUUCGACAAAAAGAACGAAGAAUGAGUUUUCAUGUCCUUUAAACAAACACUGUGUUAGGAUUACGAUAGGUAACAUAUAUAUGACUAUAGUACACGAGAUAGUGAAGCAAUUUUCUGUUUACACCAGGAGUAUACGAUGAAUAGGACACACUUCAACCUUUAUAUUAGUAUACUUUAACAUUUGUAUCACGUUUAUCAACAAAAACUGGAAAACCAUACUUCAGUUUUAUAGAAGUUGGUCCACACAAAUGUAAGGUUUUUUGUUUGUCUGUACGAAAUUAUUAAACGAGUGUUUAUUAGUGAUUUUAUAUGAGGGAGGCAAGGUGUUAUGUACGGAAGGUAAACAGUUUUAUAUCUACAUAGAUCUGCACGAAAUCAUAUAUCCAUGUAAGUAAAAACCUGUUUACCUUCAGUUCAUAAAACCUUACCUCCCUCAUGUACGUACGCUCGUUGUAAAAGAAUUUCAAUAGUGAAAUUGACUGACGUGAAACAAAGUAAAGUUCAAAGAUAGGAGGGUGGUAGAAAGUAAUAGAAACUUACGUUGGUUUUAAGAUGGUACCGACGUUCAUUUUAAAGACACCUUGAAACUGUACCUAACAUCUACAUUAUAAUAUACAUUCUACCUAUCAGACGUCGACCUCGUCGUAAUAGUCGUAGUAUACCUAUAUGACGUUUAAUCAAGAUUUUUAUACGGUUAGUAAGUCUACGGUAAUUAUAUUUCAAGUUUUCUACUUUGAAGUCUAACAAAAUUGGUCAGUACAUCAGACAACACUAAAAGAACGGGGACCACGACGGUGCUGGAACCGACAGUAAUAUGAGACUAUGAAUUGAACUCAUUGUCACGUCAAAAAACUCGUCAUUGACAUGGAAUUGACUAACCAUACGUUUUGGUAACUAUAACGAAAGAGACCAAAUUUUUGUGUUAAGUAUAAAACAACAGUUUUAAACGAGACCGAAAUAGUAGAGUCGUCAAACUCAAGAAAACGAAACCGAAGACUACAAAAGUCGGUGUAACUUAUCUCUUUUAAUCGAGUCAUGUCAAAGUUCCGGUAUAUUUACCCUUUGAUAGCUGAUCAUAUUCCUACUGUACACCAUAGACUCCUGUACAGUAAUCAAUAUAUAACCUAUAUACCUAACAUAAAAGGUUGAGUCACUAGGGACACUACCAUGACUCGAUAUUACAGGUUAAUUCAUUGACGUAACGGUAAACUACUUAGUAAACCGAAACUAAUAGAGUCUAGGCACACUGAGAUUAGAAUGAAGGGUGUCAAGAUUCCAGACUUUACGAACAUAAAACAGGGAAUUCAAAUACGUAAACACUACGAAGUACGUGAGUGAAUAUUUACAAUAGGGUAAACGUCGACGUUGAACAAAUUGGCUUCAUGAUUAUGACACGGAGUUUUAAAGGUCUAAUUCGUUUGUAGACUAGUCUGACAUGUACUCAGUACCGACCCGUAGUAAUAGUGUUAAGGGUCUAAAGUUCUUACCUAGCAUGCUUGGUCGGUGCAUUACUUGGAGGCGGAAAACCAGUUUUCAAUAAAUACGUAGGAUCUCCACUACGUGGAUUACCUCGCCCUGGUAGUCCAAUACCCCAAUGUUGACACUCUAGAUUACUUGAAGGUAGGAGUUCGAUGCGGCCAGUCAGAAUACCAGUCGUCUACCCUCGGGGACCUUGGAACGUACGAAGGGUACGACCAAUAGGAGGACGACCUUCGAGAUCAUCGUCGAUACGUGGUAUGUUAUGAGUUGUGCACGGAAGAAAUUCGAUAGGCUUAUCUAGCCUCCUAUCAAAAUAAGGACCUCAGGUACACCUACUGUCUUCCCAACGUGGCUUCGCCUCUUUAGGGUAGUGAGUAGGACACCUACCACAUUCACGACCUCCGAUAAUAGGACCGUCAAGAAGGUUAUUAGUCAAGAGACCAAUGCACGGGGACUUAGGACAAGGAUGAGCACUUUGAACGGGAGGUGUUUAUUCAAGUUUGUACCCAAGGUCGGUGACCUUGCUAGUAGUCAAAGAAUUAGUACUUCCUAGAGUCUCCUUACACUCCCCUGCGGUACUAGUAUCAAGAUAGGUAAGCCUUAUAUUAAGUAGAUGUCGAACGGGUAGUUCGUCACAAGUACACGGUGGUAUGGUAGGUUUACGUUUACGAGGAAAACCUUCACGUGGUCAUGUCGCCCUUUCUCGAGGAAAUAGAGAUGGAGGGUCUUAACAAGGAGGUCCCUGUCUACCUUCGUGACCGUAUCGUAAGUCUCUCUCCGGUAAGAUAGGACGAGGUGUCUCGUGGUUGUAUUCACGAGGACACGGUUGUGAAGGACCAAGAAGACUGCAACGUGGUAAACGAGUGUAACCUAUGUGAGGAUCUGGUCAAGUAGUGUUGCGACCGGUGUUAAUAGGUGGCGGUCGAAAAUGUUGAAGAAGGUUGAGACCUCGUCAAGCCACACUCGGACGAUUGGGAGCGAUAGUUGGAAGGUACUGGUCGAUAGGAGGACGAUGACGACGUCGUAGUAGUUCACAGGUCGGUAAUGUACGGCUUCGACGACGUAGAAAAUCUGUCGGAUCCGUGCAGAGACAUCCCGUACCACCAUCAUGUUCCUCAUCUUCCUACUCCCUAAGGAUAGUAACAAAAGUAGGAAACUACUAACUCCUCUUAUUGGAUCCUUCUAGCCGUCGACUCGCAAAAUACUACGACCUGGUCAACCAGUAGGUACUCAGAUCUCUUCGUAAUCUAGGAGUGACCCUGUACUCUGACCUGUAACUACUGUACUCGAUACUCCUCGAGGACCGCAACCUUCUUGCUUAACCGUUACAUUUGUGACCGGACCGACUGCUUUUUUAGAGUCCGACGCACUACCUCGAUCGGACAGCAUUAAGACGGGCAUGUGUCUUACUAGUUCUGUUCCUUUCUACGUAUUAAACGGACCUCCUUAUGUUCGUGUUCCUGAGGGAACCCUUCGACUUUACACCCGUACUGAAGGUACGCCCGACGUAGUUCUUCACCGACCUCCACUUCUUGCGGACGGGCCAAACAUUUCGGCUGCGGCGUUUACUUUGGUGAACUCCCUGGUUCAUCACGCGGGGAGGUGUAAAUAGUAUCAAGUCCUUAAAGUCAAUAUAGACGAGUAACACGGCGAGUUCAACCGACACAUUUAUUAUUAAUUUCAGGAUUUCAAUCCUAAGAAAACACUUGAGUUUUGUAGCACGGGCUACAUUCAUACUUAGAAAUUCGUUCAAUACCUAAUUAAUAGGUUUCGGAGACUA